AGUACGGCCGCAAGGUUAAAACUCAAAUGAAUUGACGGGGGCCCGCACAAGCGGCGGAGCAUGCGGAUUAAUUCGAUGCAACGCGAAGAACCUUACCUGGGCUUGACAUGUUCCCGACGGUCGUAGAGAUGCGGCUUCCCUUCGGGGCGGGUUCACAGGUGGUGCAUGGUCGUCGUCAGCUCGUGUCGUGAGAUGUUGGGUUAAGUCCCGCAACGAGCGCAACCCUCGCCCCGUGUUGCCAGCGGAUUAUGCCGGGAACUCACGGGGGACCGCCGGGGUUAACUCGGAGGAAGGUGGGGAUGACGUCAGAUCAUCAUGCCCCUUACGUCCAGGGCUUCACGCAUGCUACAAUGGCUGGUACAACGGGAUGCGACGCGGUGACGCGGAGCGGAUCCCUGAAAACCGGUCUCAGUUCGGAUCGCAGUCUGCAACUCGACUGCGUGAAGGCGGAGUCGCUAGUAAUCGCGAAUCAGCAACGUCGCGGUGAAUGCGUUCCCGGGCCUUGUACACACCGCCCGUCAAGUCAUGAAAGUGGGCAGCACCCGAAGCCGGUGGCCUAACCCCUUGUGGGAUGGAGCCGUCUAAGGUGAGGCUCGUGAUUGGGACUAAGUCGUAACAAGGUAGCCGUACCGGAAGGUGCGGCUG
rnacentral:rRNA from 1 species